GGGAAUGUGUGGAGAGGUAAGAGACCGGUGGUGAUGCUGUGGGCGUGGACUUGGUGGAGUUGGGAGAUGGAUUUGCAUUGCUUUAUUACUUGCAAGGUACGCAUUGAUCAUGUAACACUUUGUGUUGGAAACUCGUAGGAUUUCUAGUCAUGCCCGAUAACCACUCCGGCACGUCCACUUUCUAUCCUUAAUUACUAAUCGAAUUCCCACUUUUUAAAAAAUUAAUAUUUCCUUUAUCAUUUAUAUAAUAGUAUGAGUAUAUAAAUUUUCGAUUCAUAUCUCAUUGUGCAGAAGACACCACCAAGCUGAUCAUGGCAUGUGCUAGAUAAAGAGUAACAUUUCGUGUAUGUGGAUAAAACAAGCAAUGCCUAGUCAUUUCUUCGAGGCACUCUCUAAAAUCUUUCUUCAUUUGCAAGAUAACCAAUACUCACUGAUCAGAAAAGCAAACUCGAGGCUCGAACCAAGGAUUACUGUAUAGAGAACCAACUAAAGUGUGCUUUACCAAGCUAGGAGAGAAAUAAAGAAGUGACCACUUGACCUAACGGAAAUUAUUUUAUUACGAGGGGUUCCAAUAAUUGUUAUUCCUCUCCGUACGGAAUAAAAGCACUACUAUGAAAAAGUAGAGCAUUGGCUUUCUUUAAUUAUAGUAUAUUUAUAUGCCGAAUUUAGCAAGCCCCCAUCCCCAUGCAUACCAAUUGGAUGGUGCCAACCCAAUGUACCACAUUUUUAAAAUGCACAAGUGCUUAUCUACAAGCCUAUUCUCUCUUUACACUUGGCUCUUUUGUCCAUAUAAUUACUUUAACCAACCACCUUUUUAUUAUCAUACCAUUUUUUCCACUUCUUUUUACCUGUUUUUCAAACCCCUCUUCCCCAUACUUAAUCUUUAAUUAUCCUUUCUUGUCGGUCGUGAGAAGUGGAAUAACAGGCUCCAUGGAAUAUUGUGUAACAAAAUGCUU
rnacentral:lncRNA from 1 species